rnacentral:rRNA from 1 species
GUAGUCCACGCCGUAAACGAUGUCAACUAGCUGUUGGGACUCUUGUAGUUCUGGUAGCGCAGCUAACGCACUAAGUUGACCGCCUGGGGAGUACGGCCGCAAGGUUAAAACUCAAAUGAAUUGACGGGGGCCCGCACAAGCGGUGGAGCAUGUGGUUUAAUUCGACGCAACGCGAAAAACCUUACCUACUCUUGACAUCCUGCGAACUUUCUAGAGAUAGAUUGGUGCCUUCGGGAGCGCAGAGACAGGUGCUGCAUGGCUGUCGUCAGCUCGUGUCGUGAGAUGUUGGGUUAAGUCCCGCAACGAGCGCAACCCUUGUCCUUAGUUGCCAGCACGUAAUGGUGGGAACUCUAGGGAGACUGCCGGUGACAAACCGGA